ensembl:lncRNA
GAAUUGAUGCUUUUGAACUGUGGUGUUGGAGAAGACUCUUGAGAGUCCCUUGGACUGCAAGGAGAUCCAACCAGUCCAUCCUAAAGGAGACCAGCCCUGGGAUUUCUUUGGAAGGAAUGAUGCUGAAGCUGAAACUCCAGUACUUUGGCCACCUCAUGGGAAGAGUUGACUCAUUGGAAAAGACUCUGAUGCUGGGAGGGAUUGGGGGCAGGAGGAGAAGGGGACGACAGAGGAUGAGAUGGCUGGAUGGCAUCACCGACAUGAUGGACGUGAGUUUGAGUGAACUCCGGGAGUUGGUGAUGGACAGGGAGGCCUGGCAUGCUGCGGUUCAUGGGGUCACAAAGAGUCAGACAGGACUGAGCGACUGAAUUGGACUAAACUGGAACUGGACUGUAGCCUACCAGGCUCUUCUGUCCAUGGAAUUUUCCAGGUAAGAGUACUGGCGGGUUGCCAUUUCCUUCUCCAGGGGAACUUCCCAACCCAGGGAUUGAACACAGGUCUACCGCAUUGCAGGCAGACCCUUUACCAUCUGAGCCACCUUGGAAGAGCCACCGGAAGCCUGGCUAGAGCCUUUUGGGUUCACAGCCCUGGAUUUAAUGGAGCGAGAUCUGGCAGGGAGAGGCGCGAGGUAGGGGGAGGACUGGGCACCGGUGUUUGUAAACAGCACAAGUGGUCAGAGCAGGGACCCCCGACUUUCCAGGACGUGAGUCAGCUAAGGCACCAGGUCUGAACACUUCUUCUAAAAAGUGGACUUCAGUGUGACCUCUUCCAGAGCCUCUGUGUCCACUGGGACCCCUGGUGCCUCCUGCACGCGCCCUGACCCCUGACCCAGGAGUUCUGUCCUGGACCCGCCGGUCUUCCUGGCCAAUGGGAUCCGUCCCUCCGUGCCUUCUCGUUCUCACAGCCCUGGGGGUCCUGAGUAGGUACAUCCAGCUUCUUCAAACCCAAACAGAAACGUUGGGCCGCUGGGCGCGAUGAGGAUGAAAGCUGCCCACUGUUGAGACCUACUGCUCAGAAAACAAGAUUCUUUCCCAAUUACUGCUCACUGACCAAGAGCUCUGACGGAUGAUGAGGCUCGAGCUGUUUCACACCUGCUAACACAGCCAACCUGCAGCCCACGGAGCCCUGACUUUCAAGUCCUGUCAUUUAAGAAACCCAUCUCACAAGGCUAUAGCUGCCAUAGACAGCAGUUCUUCGAUGGAUCUGGGCAACCUCCUGGAGAGGAGUCGGCAUUUCAGAUGCUGCCAAGGACGUUUGUGAUCUGUGCAAAGAGGUCAGAACGUCCACAGUAACAGGAGCUGCAGGAAGUGGAUCCCAGCCCUCAGGGGUGGCUUCUCAGGGCUCAAGAUUCUUGUUCAUGUAUGACAAAAACCCACAAAAUUCUGUAAAGAAAUACUCGUCAAUUUAAAAAAAAAAAAAGGAAUAAGAGACUUCAGUGGAGGAAGCAGCAGUGAGUGUACUGGAACAGCAGGAGGACUGCAGUCACACACGGAGCCUGAAGACGGGACUGAAGCGCAUGGACCUCAGGAUGAAGUCUGAACAGAGGAGGAGCUGCUUCCCAUGGAUAAGCGAAGGAAGCGGUUGCUUGAGACAGAAUUUACUCCUG